rnacentral:rRNA from 1 species
UACGUAGGGCGCAAGCGUUGUCCGGAAUUAUUGGGCGUAAAGAGCUCGUAGGCGGCUUGUCACGUCGGAUGUGAAAGCCCGGGGCUUAACCCCGGGACUGCAUUCGAUACGGGCAGGCUAGAGUCCGGUAGGGGCCCACGGAAUUCCUGGUGUAGCGGUGAAAUGCGCAGAUAUCAGGAGGAACACCGGUGGCGAAGGCGGUGGGCUGGGCCGGCACUGACGCUGAGGAGCGAAAGCGUGGGGAGCGAACAGG